AUGGCACUGGGAUGCUCU
rnacentral:snRNA from 1 species